GUCUUGAGUUCCUUCACUUCUGGCUACCAGGGAGACUGAGACAGGAGGAUUGCUUGAGUCCAGGAGUUGUGGGCUGUGGUGCUCUAUACUGGUCAGCUGUCCACACUAAGUUUGGCAUUGAUAUGGUGACCUCUCUGGAGUGGGGGCUCACCAGGAUGGCUACAGAGGGGUGAACCGGCCCAGGUCAAAAAUGGAGCAGGUCAAAACUCUCCUGAGGGUCAGUAGUGAGACUGCCGGUGAAUAGCCAUCUUUCCAGAUGUUGCUGGAUAUAUAAGCUGUAGCA
rnacentral:SRP_RNA from 1 species